GUCCUCUUGUUUAUAUAUGAGGUCUGACCUGCCCGGUGAAAUUAUUUUAACGGCCGCAGUAUUUUGACUGUGCAAAGGUAGCAUAAUCAUUAGUCUUUUAAUAGGGGGCUGGAAUGAAGGGUUUGACGAGGUGUUAACUGUCUCAUUAAAUUUGUUAUUAAAAUUUAACUUUUCAGUCAAAAGGCUGAAAUUUUAUUGGAAGACGAGAAGACCCUAUAGAGCUUUAUAGCUGAAAGUUUAAUUAUUAUUUGUUUAUUAUUUUUUAUUAUUCUUUUAGUUAUUUUGUUGGGGUGACAAAAAUAUAAAAUUAACUUUUUUAUUUAAUUAACAUUGAUUAAUGAAUAUUAGAUCCAAUCUUAUUGAUUGUUAGAUUAAGUUACC
rnacentral:rRNA from 2 species